rnacentral:lncRNA from 1 species
CCGGAGAGAGCAGCAGGUGGCAUGCGCUGCCCGUCAAUUUGGACGAGCCAAAGAGAACGAGGGCCGCAUCCGGAACCCCGGGGCCCACGGCUGCUGGAUCCCUCCAACGCCCCGCCAAUCAACGGAGCGCUCCCUGCUGUUGGAUCUCAUCGCUGACCUCAGCUCAUCUCACAGCCUCACCGAGCGACCCAACCGGACAAGGGAAAAGUGGGCAUCUUGCCGUUGGCCUGUCUAUUAAACAUGUAGGAUACCCAUGAACCAAAAUUUGCUUGUUUCUAGAAGCUUCUGGGCAGUCAGUUAUUUUUUUUUUUUUUUAGUUACCAUCUCCAGUUAUUUUUGUUGAACCACCGUGUGGAUCCACAAUAGUUCGACCGUCCAAGAUCUAGACUGAUUGCUUACUAAUUACUUUGAUUCCAUGGCAGCUGUGUGAAAGAGGUUUUUUUUUUUUUUUGUUUGGUGGCUAUAAGAAGUGGCAAUAGGACGUUAUUAUGGAUAAAGUAGUGUCAAAAGUUUUUACACAAAAAUGCUAUGCUUGGCAUUUUUAAGUGCUCUGUUCACUAUCAAUUCUCUUUCUUAUCAUGCAAAGGUUGCUAGUA